rnacentral:tRNA from 1 species
GUGGACCCCCUGGAUGGCCGGUGCCAUGACCUACAACGUCGUGCUCACGAGCGCCGUGGCCAUCCUCCUGUGGUUCUACGUCCUCAAGGUCCUUCCC